GUUAGUGCAAUGGCAUAAGCCAGCUUGACUGCGAGCGUGACGGCGCGAGCAGGUGCGAAAGCAGGUCAUAGUGAUCCGGUGGUUCUGAAUGGAAGGGCCAUCGCUCAACGGAUAAAAGGUACUCCGGGGAUAACAGGCUGAUACCGCCCAAGAGUUCAUAUCGACGGCGGUGUUUGGCACCUCGAUGUCGGCUCAUCACAUCCUGGGGCUGAAGUAGGUCCCAAGGGUAUGGCUGUUCGCCAUUUAAAGUGGUACGCGAGCUGGGUUUAGAACGUCGUGAGACAGUUCGGUCCCUAUCUGCCGUGGGCGCUGGAGAACUGAGGGGGGCUGCUCCUAGUACGAGAGGACCGGAGUGGACGCAUCACUGGUGUUCGGGUUGUCAUGCCAAUGGCACUGCCCGGUAGCUAAAUGCGGAAGAGAUAAGUGCUGAAAGCAUCUAAGCACGAAACUUGCCCCGAGAUGAGUUCUCCCUGAGACUUAGAGUCUCCUGAAGGAACGUUGAAGACGACGACGUUGAUAGGCCGGGUGUGUAAGCGCAGCGAUGCGUUGAGCUAACCGGUACUAAUGAACCGUGAGGCUUAACCUUACAACGCCGAAG
rnacentral:rRNA from 1 species